rnacentral:rRNA from 1 species
GGAGUGAAAAAGAACCUGAAACCGUGUACGUACAAGCAGUGGGAGCACGCUUAGGCGUGUGACUGCGUACCUUUUGUAUAAUGGGUCAGCGACUUAUAUUCUGUAGCAAGGUUAACCGAAUAGGGGAGCCGAAGGGAAACCGAGUCUUAACUGGGCGUUAAGUUGCAGGGUAUAGACCCGAAACCCGGUGAUCUAGCCAUGGGCAGGUUGAAGGUUGGGUAACACUAACUGGAGGACCGAACCGACUAAUGUUGAAAAAUUAGCGGAUGACUUGUGGCUGGGGGUGAAAGGCCAAUCAAACCGGGAGAUAGCUGGUUCUCCCCGAAAGCUAUUUAGGUAGCGCCUCGUGAAUUCAUCUCCGGGGGUAGAGCACUGUUUCGGCAAGGGGGUCAUCCCGACUUACCAACCCGAUGCAAACUGCGAAUACCGGAGAAUGUUAUCACGGGAGACACACGGCGGGUGCUAACGUCCGUCGUGAAGAGGGAAACAACCCAGACCGCCAGCUAAGGUCCCAAAGUCAUGGUUAAGUGGGAAACGAUGUGGGAAGGCCCAGACAGCCAGGAUGUUGGCUUAGAAGCAGCCAUCAUUUAAAGAAAGCGUAAUAGCUCACUGGUCGAGUCGGCCUGCGCGGAAGAUGUAACGGGGCUAAACCAUGCACCGAAGCUGCGGCAGCGACGCUGAUGCGUUGUUGGGUAGGGGAGCGUUCUGUAAGCCUGUGAAGGUGUACUGUGAGGUAUGCUGGAGGUAUCAGAAGUGCGAAUGCUGACAUAAGUAACGAUAAAGCGGGUGAAAAGCCCGCUCGCCGGAAGACCAAGGGUUCCUGUCCAACGUUAAUCGGGGCAGGGUGAGUCGACCCCUAAGGCGAGGCCGAAAGGCGUAGUCGAUGGGAAACAGGUUAAUAUUCCUGUACUUGGUGUUACUGCGAAGGGGGGACGGAGAAGGCUAUGUUGGCCGGGCGACGGUUGUCCCGGUUUAAGCGUGUAGGCUGGUUUUCCAGGCAAAUCCGGAAAAUCAAGGCUGAGGCGUGAUGACGAGGCACUACGGUGCUGAAGCAACAAAUGCCCUGCUUCCAGGAAAAGCCUCUAAGCAUCAGGUAACAUCAAAUCGUACCCCAAACCGACACAGGUGGUCAGGUAGAGAAUACCAAGGCGCUUGAGAGAACUCGGGUGAAGGAACUAGGCAAAAUGGUGCCGUAACUUCGGGAGAAGGCACGCUGAUAUGUAGGUGAAGUCCCUCGCGGAUGGAGCUGAAAUCAGUCGAAGAUACCAGCUGGCUGCAACUGUUUAUUAAAAACACAGCACUGUGCAAACACGAAAGUGGACGUAUACGGUGUGACGCCUGCCCGGUGCCGGAAGGUUAAUUGAUGGGGUCAGCGCAAGCGAAGCUCUUGAUCGAAGCCCCGGUAAACGGCGGCCGUAACUAUAACGGUCCUAAGGUAGCGAAAUUCCUUGUCGGGUAAGUUCCGACCUGCACGAAUGGCGUAAUGAUGGCCAGGCUGUCUCCACCCGAGACUCAGUGAAAUUGAACUCGCUGUGAAGAUGCAGUGUACCCGCGGCAAGACGGAAAGACCCCGUGAACCUUUACUAUAGCUUGACACUGAACAUUGAGCCUUGAUGUGUAGGAUAGGUGGGAGGCUUUGAAGUGUGGACGCCAGUCUGCAUGGAGCCGACCUUGAAAUACCACCCUUUAAUGUUUGAUGUUCUAACGUUGACCCGUGAUCCGGGUUGCGGACAGUGUCUGGUGGGUAGUUUGACUGGGGCGGUCUCCUCCUAAAGAGUAACGGAGGAGCACGAAGGUUGGCUAAUCCUGGUCGGACAUCAGGAGGUUAGUGCAAUGGCAUAAGCCAGCUUGACUGCGAGCGUGACGGCGCGAGCAGGUGCGAAAGCAGGUCAUAGUGAUCCGGUGGUUCUGAAUGGAAGGGCCAUCGCUCAACGGAUAAAAGGUACUCCGGGGAUAACAGGCUGAUACCGCCCAAGAGUUCAUAUCGACGGCGGUGUUUGGCACCUCGAUGUCGGCUCAUCACAUCCUGGGGCUGAAGUAGGUCCCAAGGGUAUGGCUGUUCGCCAUUUAAAGUGGUACGCGAGCUGGGUUUAGAACGUCGUGAGACAGUUCGGUCCCUAUCUGCCGUGGGCGCUGGAGAACUGAGGGGGGCUGCUCCUAGUACGAGAGGACCGGAGUGGACGCAUCACUGGUGUUCGGGUUGUCAUGCCAAUGGCACUGCCCGGUAGCUAAAUGCGGAAGAGAUAAGUGCUGAAAGCAUCUAAGCACGAAACUUGCCCCGAGAUGAGUUCUCCCUGACUCCUUGAGAGUCCUGAAGGAACGUUGAAGACGACGACGUUGAUAGGCCGGGUGUGUAAGCGCAGCGAUGCGUUGAGCUAACCGGUACUAAUGAACCGUGAGGCUUAACCUUACAACGCCGAAG